GAUGAACGCUGGCGGCGUGCCUAAUACAUGCAAGUCGAGCGAACGGACGAGAAGCUUGCUUCUCUGAUGUUAUCGGCGGACGGGUGAGUAACACGUGGAUAACCUACCUAUAAGACUGGGAUAACUUCGGGAAACCGGAGCUAAUACCGGAUAAUAUUUUGCACCGCAUUGUUCAAAAGUUAAAGACGGUCUUGCUGUCACUUAUAGAUGGAUCCGCGCUGCAUUAGCUAGUUGGUAAGGUAACGGCUUACCAACGCAACGAUGCAUAGCCGACCUGAGAGGGUGAUCGGCCACCCGGGAACUGAGAAACGGUCCACACUCCUACGGGAGGCAGCAGUAGGGAAUCUUACGCAAUGGGCGAAAGCCUGACGGAGCAACGCCGCGUGAGUGAUGAAGGUCUUCGGAUCGUAGAACUAUGUUAUUAGGGAAGAACAUAUGUGUAAGUACCUGUGCACAUAUUGACGGUACCUAAUCAGAAAGCCACGGCUAACUACGUG
rnacentral:rRNA from 1 species